rnacentral:misc_RNA from 1 species
CAUGCUAUUAGAAUCAUUGGGAGCUUUGACCCAUCUCAAGAUCCUGCAUCUAAGUUGGAGUAAUUUUGAAGGGACACUAUUUAAUAAAGGAUCUAAUGUGACCAAUGUGAAAGAGUUAUAUCUAGAUGGGUCUUCUCUAGAUGAAAACUUCCUCCAAAGUCUUGAAGCACUCUCUUCUCUUAAGCUUUUGUCUUUAGUUCAACUGAAUUGCACCCUACCAAUCCGAGGUUUGACACGCCUGAAGAAUUUGGAACAUUUAUAUUUGAAUGAAUCUGUUAUUAACGGUAACUUUCUGCAAAUAAUUGGAGUGUUGUCCUCCCUCAAAACAUUAUCAAUGCGGGGUUGUGAACUUAAUAGCUCAAUGUUCAUGAACCAAGGUUUAUGCGAAUUAAAAUAUGUCCAGUCGCUAGAUAUUAGCUACAAUGAACUCAGUGGUAGCUUGCCUUUAUGUCUAGCAAAUUUGACAUCCCUUCAACAGUUAGAUCUCUCUGAAAAUCAUUUUAUUGGAAACAUCUCUUUAUCUCCCCUGAGGAGUUUAACAAGUCUCGAAUAUCUAGCUCUCUCAUACAAUCUUUUCCAAAUCCCAAUCU